UACGGAGGGUGCAAGCGUUAUCCGGAUUCACUGGGUUUAAAGGGUGCGUAGGUGGGUUGGUAAGUCAGUGGUGAAAUCUCCAGGCUUAACUUGGAAACUGCCAUUGAUACUAUCAAUCUUGAAUACUGUGGAGAUGAGCGGAAUAUGUCAUGUAGCGGUGAAAUGCUUAGAUAUGACAUAGAACACCUAUUGCGAAGGCAGCUCGUUACACAAAUAUUGACACUGAGGCACGAAAGCGUGGGGAUCAAACAGG
rnacentral:rRNA from 1 species